rnacentral:misc_RNA from 1 species
CCGAGUUUACAACUCCCAAAACCCACUGUGCACCUAUACCUUUACCGUUGCUUCGGCGGGGAUCUCGCCUGGGAAUCCGGGUGCCCGCCGGGGGACUUCAGCGCUCUUGUGUUCCUUAGCUUGCAUGUCUGAGUGUGGGAUAUAGAAUGAAAAUCA